rnacentral:rRNA from 1 species
CAGUAGCCGCGGUAAUACGUAGGGUGCAAGCGUUAAUCGGAAUUACUGGGCGUAAAGCGUGCGCAGGCGGUUAUAUAAGACAGAUGUGAAAUCCCCGGGCUCAACCUGGGAACUGCAUUUGUGACUGUAUAGCUAGAGUACGGCAGAGGGGGAUGGAAUUCCGCGUGUAGCAGUGAAAUGCGUAGAUAUGCGGAGGAACACCGAUGGCGAAGGCAAUCCCCUGGGCCUGUACUGACGCUCAUGCACGAAAGCGUGGGGAGCAAACAGGAUUAGAUACCCCGGUAGUCCCUGUCUCUUAUAC